AUGCCACGUGGCUCAGCAGGCUGCAGAGUCUGGACGGAGUUUGCUCACUUAAAAUCUCUGCCCCGGGGGCCCGGGCGGCUCUGCGGGUUAGAGGCCCACUCUGGAUCCUCACUCGUGACCAUGAGUCACGACCACAGGGUUCCGACCCGGAGCCCGGCCCUGCUGGGCACCUGGGGCGGGGCAGGGAGGCGGCAAGUUCUCUCCCACCCCCAAAAAACCCCCCCAAAUUUCUGUCCUGCACUGUACAGCUGUGGCCCCGUACCAGGGGCUGGCACUUCUCUGGCGGCUGGGACAGGGUCCCCGGUCUCCACGGAGCCGCGGCAAGGGCUGGCUGGCCGCAGGCCUCGGGAGGGUCACGCCCUCCUGAUUCACCUCCCUGGGGGCCCGCGGGCAAGGCCAGCCAGCCCCGCCCAGAACCCGCGGCCCCACGGCGGGCAAAGUGCGCUGGCGACGCCUCCCGCACGCACCUGGCCCCCGCCCCGCGGGCACGCACCUGGCCCUCGCCCCCGCCACGCACGCACUUGGCCCCGCUCCGCCCGGCACGCACCUGGCCCUCGCCAGGAUCAGCAACGCACCUGGCCCUCGCCCCGCACGCACCUGGCCCCUGCCCCGCCCCACACGCACCUGGCCCUCGCCCCGACCAGCAACGCACCUGGCCCUCGCCCCGCCCCGCACGCACCUGGCCCUCGCCCCGCCACGCACGCACCUGGCCCUCGCCCCGCCCCGCAGGCACCUGACCUCUGCCCCUAUCAGCAACGUACCUGGCCCUCGCCCCGCCCCUCACGCACCUGGCCCUCGCCCCGACCAGCAACGCACCUGGCCUCUGCCCCAUCAGCAACGCACCUGGCCCUCGCCCCGCCCCGCACGCACCUGGCCCUCGCCCCGACCAGCAACGCACCUGGCCCUCGCCCCGCCCCGCACGCACCUGGCCCUCGCCCCGACCAGCAACGCACCUGGCCCUCGCCCCGCCACGCACGCACCUGGCCCUCGCCCCGCCCCGCACGCACCUGGCCCUCGCCCGGACCAGCAACGCACCUGGCCCCGCCCCGCCGCAGCUCGGCGACCACGCUGCCCUGGGCUCGCCCCGCCCCUCCCCUCCCCUCCCCGCCCCGCCCCGCCCCCGCCCCGCCCCGCCGGCGCCCGAGGCCCGAGGCCCGAGGCCCCAGCCUCCGCCGUCCCUACUGA
rnacentral:lncRNA from 1 species